rnacentral:lncRNA from 1 species
UAUUUAUUUACUUCCUCUACAGUUUUCCUGACUGCUACAUUUCAUGAGAAGGGAUUGUUUAUGAGGGUCAAGGAGCUGGAGGCCUGGGGAGGAGCUGGUGUUUCUGUUCAAGUUUGAGGGUCCUGGAGCUGGAGUCCAGGGGAGGAGCCGGUGCUGCCACUGAUGUCUUAGGGUCGUGGAGCUGAAGAUCCCAGAGGAGCCGGUGCUGCUAUUCUAGCUUGAGUUUCGUGGAGCUGGAGACCCAGGGAGAAGAUGGUGCUGCUGUUCUAAUUUAAGGAUCGUGAAACAGAAGACCCAGAAAGGAGCUGGUGCUGCCGCUGCUCAGAUCUGAGGGUGUUGGAGCUGGAGACUUAGGGAGGAGACGUCUUGUUCUAGUUUCAGGGUCGUGGAGCUGCAGACUGAGGCAGGAGCAUUGUUGUUAUAGUUCGAGGGUCAGAAAGCUGGCGACCCAGGGAGGAGAGGUCUUGUUCUGGUCUGAGGGUCGUGGAGCUGCAGACCCAGGGAGGAGCAAUUUUGUUGUAGUUCGAGGGUCAGGAAGCUGGCGACCCAGGGAGGAGAGGUCUUCUUCUGGUGUGAGGGUCGUGGAGCUGCAGACGCAGGGAGGAGCAAUUUUGUUGUAGUUCGACGGUCAGGAAGCUGGCGACCCAGGGAGAGGUCUUGUACUAGUCUGAGGGUCGUGGAGCUGCAGACCCAGGGAGGGGCAAUGUUGUUGUAAUUCGAGGGUCUGGCAGCUGGCAACUCGGGGAGGAGAAGUCUUGUUGGAGUUUGAGGGUCGUGGAGCUGCCAACCCAGGGAGGAGCAAUUUUGUUGUAGUUCAAGGGUCCGGAAGCUGGCGACCCAGGGAGGAGAGGUCUUGUUCUAUUGUGAGGGUCGUGGAGCUGCCGACCCAGGGAGGAGCAAUUUUGUUGUAAUUUGAGGGUCCGGAAGCUGGCGACCCAGGGAGGAGAGGUCUUGUUCGAGUUCGAGGGUCGUGGAGCUGCAGACCCAGGGAGGAGCCAUUUUGUUGUAGUUCGAGUGUCAGGAAGCUGGCGACUCAGGUAGGAGAAAUUUUGUUCUAGUUUCAGGGUUGUGGAGCUGCAGACCCAGGGAGGAGCAAGGUUGUUGUAAUUCGAGGGUCAGGAAGCUGGCGACCCAGGGAGGAGAGGUCUUGUUCUGGUCUGAGGGUCAUGGACCUGCAGACCCAGGGAGGAGCAGUGUUGUUGUAGUUUGAAGGUCAGGAAGCUGGCGGCCCAGGGAGGAGAGGUCUUGUUCUAGUUUGAGGGUCGUGGAGCUGCAGACCCAGGGAGGAGCCAUGUUGGUUUGAAUGUUGUGGAUCUGGAGAUCCACGGAGGAGCUGGUGCUGCCUUUGAAGUCUGAGAGUCACUGAGCUGGAGAUCCAGAGAGGAACCGGUGUUGCUGUUCUAGUCUGAACAGAUCUAGAGUUCUGGGGAGUUGCCGGUUCUGCCUCUCAAGUCUGAGAGUUGUUGAGCUGGAGAUUCAGGGAGGAGCCUGUGUUGCUGUUGUAGUUUGAGGGUCAUGGAGCUGCAGACUCAGGGAGGAGGGGUGCGGUUCUAGUCUGAGGGUUGUGGAGCUUGAGACACAGGGAGGAGCUGGUGCUGCUGUUGUUUAAGGCUGAGGGUUGUGGUGCUGGAGACCCAGGUAAGAGCUGGUGCUGCUGUUGUUUAAGGCUGAGGGUUGUGUAGCUGGACAGUGGGGAGGAGGUAGUCUUAGUGUCUAAUGUGAGGUUGGUGGAGCUGUGGACCUGGGGUGGGGCCGGUGCUACUGUGUAGUUUGAGGGUCAUGGAACUGGAGACCUAGGGAGGAGCUGGUGCUACCACCAUUUAAGUCAGAGGGUCAUGGAUCUGGAGCUUUGGGGAACAGCCCAUGCUGCUGUUUAACUGUGGGGAGGAUGUGCUGUGUCCAUUGAAGUUUGAGGGUUUGGGAGCUGGAGACCCAGGGAGGAGCUGAUGAUGCCAUUCUAUUUUGAGGGUCGUGGAUCUGGGGACCUGGGGAGAGGCUGGUACUGCUGUUGUAGUUUGAGGUUCGUGGAACUGGAGACAGGGGGAGGAGCCGGUGGUGCUGUUCAUGUCUGAGGGUUGUAGAGCUGGAGACCCAGGGAGAAGCCCGUACUACAGCU